UCCGGUUUGUCACCGGCGGUCUCCUUAGAGUUCCCACCAUUACGUGCUGGCAACUAAGGACAAGGGUUGCGCCCCUUGCGGGGUCGUCCCACUUUCAUGGUUCUACCACUUGCAUGUCAAGGCCAGGUAAGGUUCUUCGCGUUGCAUCGAAUUAAGCCACAUACUCCACCGCUUGUGCAGGCCCCCGUCAAUUUCUUUGAGUUUUAAUCUUGCGACCGUACUCCCCAGGCGGCGCGUUUAUCGCGUUAGCUUCGCCACAGAAGGGGUCGAUUCCUCCUACAGCAAACGCGCACCGUUUAGGGCCGGGACUAC
rnacentral:misc_RNA from 1 species